GACGGGGGGGCAAGUGUUCUUCGGAAUGACUGGGCGUAAAGGGCACGUAGGCGGUGAAUCGGGUUGAAAGUGAAAGUCGCCAAAAGUGGCGGAAUGCUCUCGAAACCAAUUCACUUGAGUGAGACAGAGGAGAGUGGAAUUUCGUGUGUAGGGUGAAAUCCGUAGAUAUUAGGAAGAACACCAGUGGCGAAGGCGGCUCACUGGCCCGGUACUGACGCUGAGGCGCGAAAGCGUGGGAGCAACAGG
rnacentral:rRNA from 1 species